rnacentral:rRNA from 1 species
CCUACGGGUCGCAGCAGUGGGGAAUAUUGGACAAUGGGCGAAAGCCUGAUCCAGCAACGCCGCGUGAGUGAAGAAGGUUUUCGGAUCGUAAAACUCUGUUGUUAGAGAAGAACAAGUAGGAGAGUAACUGCUCUUACCUUGACGGUAUCUAACCAGAAAGCCACGGCUAACUACGUGCCAGCAGCCGCGGUAAUACGUAGGUGGCAAGCGUUGUCCGGAUUUAUUGGGCGUAAAGCGAGCGCAGGCGGUCUUUUAAGUCUGAUGUGAAAGCCCUCGGCUCAACCGAGGAAGGUCAUUGGAAACUGGAGGACUUGAGUGCAGAAGAGGAGAGUGGAAUUCCAUGUGUAGCGGUGAAAUGCGUAGAUAUAUGGAGGAACACCAGUGGCGAAGGCGACUCUCUGGUCUGUAACUGACGCUGAGGCUCGAAAGCGUGGGGAGCAAACAGGAUUAGAUACCCUGGUAGUC